rnacentral:rRNA from 1 species
AGAGUUUGAUCCUGGCCCAGGAUGAACGCUGGCGGCGUGCCUUAGGCAUGCAAGUGGAACGAAUCAGCUUCGGCUGAAGAGUCGCGAACGGCUGAGUAACACGUAAGGACUUACCCCUUGGAGGGGAAUAAUCCCGCGAAAGCGGGACUAAUACCGCAUAGUCUAUGUUCAGUUAAAUGAAUAUAGUAAAGGGCAUAACUGCUCACCAAGGGAGAGGCUUGCGGCCCAUCAGCUUGUUGGUAGGAUAACAGCCUACCAAGGCUACGACGGGUAGGGGGCGUGAGAGCGUGUUCCCCCAGAGAGGCACUGAGAUACGGGCCUCACACCUACGGGUGGCAGCAACCGGGAAUUGUGCGCAAUGGACGAAAGUCUGACGCCGCGACGCCGCGUGAAGGAUGAAGGCCUUUGGGUCGUAAACUUCUUUUGACCGAAGGGAGACCGACGGUAGAAUAAGCACCCGCUAACUACGUGCCAGCAGCUGCGGUAAUACGUAGGGUGCAAGCGUUAUCCGGAUUUAUUGGGCGUAAAGGGUUUUGUAGGCGUCUUUGUAAGUUACAUUUUAAAGACCGGGGCUCAACCUCGGAAAGGGGUGUAAUACUGCAAGGAUAGAAGGACUUCGGGGCUACUGGAACUUAUCAUGUAGGGGUGAAAUCCGUUGAUAUGAUAAGGAACA